rnacentral:rRNA from 1 species
UACGUAGGGGGCUAGCGUUGUCCGGAAUCAUUGGGCGUAAAGCGCGUGUAGGCGGCCCGGUAAGUCCGCUGUGAAAGUCGGGGGCUCAACCCUCGGAUGCCGGUGGAUACUGUCGGGCUCGAGUACGGAAGAGGCGAGUGGAAUUCCUGGUGUAGCGGUGAAAUGCGCAGAUAUCAGGAGGAACACCGAUUGCGAAGGCGGCUCUCUGGGACGGUACUGACGCUGAGACGCGAAAGCGUGGGGAGCGAACAGG